rnacentral:rRNA from 1 species
UAAUACGAAGGGACCUAACGUAGUUCGGAAUUACUGGGCUUAAAGAGUUCGUAGGUGGUUAAAAAAGUUGGUGGUGAAAUCCCAGAGCUUAACUCUGGAACUGCCAUCAAAACUUUUUAGCUAGAGUAUGAUAGAGGAAAGCAGAAUUUCUAGUGUAGAGGUGAAAUUCGUAGAAAUUAGAAAGAAUACCGAUUGCGAAGGCAGCUUUCUGGAUCAUUACUGACGCUGAGGAACGAAAGCAUGGGUAGCGAAGAGGAUUAGAUACCCUCGUAGUCCAUGCCGUAAACGAUGUGUGUUAGACGUUGGGAAUUUAUUUUCAGUGUCGCAGCGAAAGCAAUAAACACACCGCCUGGGGAGUACGACCGCAAGGUUA